CCCUUGUACACACCGCCCGUCACACCACGGGAGUUGGCUGCUCCAGAAGUAGGUAGUCUAACCGCAAGGGGGACGCUUACCACGGAGUGGUCAAUGACUGGGGUG
rnacentral:rRNA from 1 species